AUUGAACGCUGGCGGCAGGCCUAACACAUGCCAGUCGAGCGGAUGAAGGGAGCUUGCUCCUGGAUUCAGCGGCGGACGGGUGAGUAAUGCCUAGGAAUCUGCCUGGUAGUGGGGGAUAACGUCCGGAAACGGGCGCUAAUACCGCAUACGUCCUGAGGGAGAAAGUGGGGGAUCUUCGGACCUCACGCUAUCAGAUGAGCCUAGGUCGGAUUAGCUAGUUGGUGGGGUAAAGGCCUACCAAGGCGACGAUCCGUAACUGGUCUGAGAGGAUGAUCAGUCACACUGGAACUGAGACACGGUCCAGACUCCUACGGGAGGCAGCAGUGGGGAAUAUUGGACAAUGGGCGAAAGCCUGAUCCAGCCAUGCCGCGUGUGUGAAGAAGGUCUUCGGAUUGUAAAGCACUUUAAGUUGGGAGGAAGGGCAGUAAGUUAAUACCUUGCUGUUUUGACGUUACCAACAGAAUAAGCACCGGCGAACUGCGU
rnacentral:rRNA from 1 species